rnacentral:lncRNA from 1 species
UGUGGCAGUUGUUUAUUAUUCCACAUGUUCACUAUUAGUUCGUGUAUCGCAUUCAAUAGGGAGUCUACGCAUUCUUUUAUUAAUUCUGCGCUAAUAUUGUCUAAUCCAGGUGACUUGUUGUUUUUCAGUCUGGUAACUGCUUCUUGCAUUUCAGCUACUGAAGGGGGGUUGUUUCUCUGGUAUCCGUUUGAUCCAGUAUAAUUCAAUCGUAUAGUGGAUCUCCGUUUUGUUCAAACUUUUCUUUGAAGAAUUCAGUCCAUCUUUGUAGUAUUUCACUCUGUUGAGUUACUAUAUC